AGGGAAUAUUGGUCAAUGGAUGCAAGUCUGAACCAGCCAUGCCGCGUGCAGGAAGAAGGUCUUCUGGGUCGUAAACUGCUUUUGCCAGGGGCUAAAAGGCCCAUGCGUGGGAAAUUGAAAGUACCUGGUGAAUAAGCCACGGCUAACUACGUGCCAGCAGCCGCGGUAAUACGUAGGUGGCAAGCGUUGUCCGGAUUUAUUGGGUUUAAAGGGUGCGUAGGCGGCGCCAUAAGUCAGUGCUGAAAUAUCCCGGCUUAACCGGGAGGGUGGCAUUGAUACUGUGGUGCUUGAGUGUAGUCGAGGUAGGCGGAAUUGACGGUGUAGCGGUGAAAUGCUUAGAUAUCGUCAAGAACACCGAUAGUGUAGACAGCUUACUAGGCUACAACUGACGCUGAGGCACGAAAGUGUGGGGAUCAAA
rnacentral:rRNA from 1 species